rnacentral:rRNA from 1 species
UACGUAGGGUCCUAGCGUUGUCCGGAUUUAUUGGGCGUAAAGAGCUCGUAGGCGGUUCGGCAAGUCGGAUGUGAAAUCUCCACGCUUAACGUGGAGGGGCCAUUCGAAACUGCCGUGACUCGAGUCCGGUAGGGGAGUGUGGAAUUCCCGGUGUAGCGGUGAAAUGCGCAGAUAUCAGGAGGAACACCGGUGGCGAAGGCGGGUCUCUGGGCCGAUAUUGACGCUGAGGAGCGAAAGCGUGGGGAGCGAACAGG